CCUACGGGAGGCAGCAGUGAGGAAUAUUGGACCAUGGACGAGAGUCUGAACCAGCCAAGCAGCGUGAAGGAUGACUGCCCUAUGGGUUGUAAACUUCUUUUAUAUGGGAAUAAAACGUUCCACGUGUGGGAUUUUGUAUGUACCAUAUGAGCAAGGAUCGGCUAACUCCGUGCCAGCAGCCGCGGUAAUACGGAGGAGCCGAGCUUUACCCGGAUUUAUUGGGUUUAACGGGAGCGUAGGUGGAUUGUUAAGUCAGUUGUGAAAGUUUGCGGCUCAACCGUAAAAUUGCAGUUGAAACUGGCAGUCUUGAGUACAGUAGAGGUGGGCGGAAUUCGUGGUGUAGCGGUGAAAUGCUUAGAUAUCACGAAGAACUCCGAUUGCGAAGGCAGUUCACUGGACUGCAACUGACACUGAGGCUCGAAAGUGUGGGUAUCAAACAGGAUUAGAUACCCGGGUAGUC
rnacentral:rRNA from 1 species